GACGAACGCUGGCGGCGUGCUUAACACAUGCAAGUCGAACGGAAAGGCCCUGCUUUUGUGGGGUGCUCGAGUGGCGAACGGGUGAGUAACACGUGAGUAACCUGCCCUUGACUUUGGGAUAACUUCAGGAAACUGGGGCUAAUACCGGAUAGGAGCUCCUGCUGCAUGGUGGGGGUUGGAAAGUUUCGGCGGUUGGGGAUGGACUCGCGGCUUAUCAGCUUGUUGGUGGGGUAGUGGCUUACCAAGGCUUUGACGGGUAGCCGGCCUGAGAGGGUGACCGGCCACAUUGGGACUGAGAUACGGCCCAGACUCCUACGGGAGGCAGCAGUGGGGAAUAUUGCACAAUGGGCGGAAGCCUGAUGCAGCAACGCCGCGUGCGGGAUGACGGCCUUCGGGUUGUAAACCGCUUUCGCCUGUGACGAAGCGUGAGUGACGGUAAUGGGUAAAGAAGCACCGGCUAACUACGUGCCAGCAGCCGCGGUGAUACGUAGGGUGCGAGCGUUGUCCGGAUUUAUUGGGCGUAAAGGGCUCGUAGGUGGUUGAUCGCGUCGGAAGUGUAAUCUUGGGGCUUAACCCUGAGCGUGCUUUCGAUACGGGUUGACUUGAGGAAGGUAGGGGAGAAUGGAAUUCCUGGUGGAGCGGUGGAAUGCGCAGAUAUCAGGAGGAACACCAGUGGCGAAGGCGGUUCUCUGGGCCUUUCCUGACGCUGAGGAGCGAAAGCGUGGGGAGCGAACAGGCUUAGAUACCCUGGUAGUCCACGCUGUAAACGGUGGGUACUAGGUGUGGGGUCCAUUCCACGGGUUCCGUGCCGUAGCUAACGCUUUAAGUACCCCGCCUGGGGAGUACGGCCGCAAGGCUAAAACUCAAAGGAAUUGACGGGGCCCCGCACAAGCGGCGGAGCAUGCGGAUUAAUUCGAUGCAACGCGUAGAACCUUACCUGGGUUUGACAUGGAUCGGGAGUGCUCAGAGAUGGGUGUGCCUCUUUUGGGGUCGGUUCACAGGUGGUGCAUGGCUGUCGUCAGCUCGUGUCGUGAGAUGUUGGGUUAAGUCCCGCAACGAGCGCAACCCUUGUUCACUGUUGCCAGCACGUUAUGGUGGGGACUCAGUGGAGACCGCCGGGGUCAACUCGGAGGAAGGUGGGGAUGACGUCAAGUCAUCAUGCCCCUUAUGUCCAGGGCUUCACGCAUGCUACAAUGGCUGGUACAGGGAGUGGCGAGCCUGUGAGGGUGAGCGAAUCUCGGAAAGCCGGUCUCAGUUCGGAUUGGGGUCUGCAACUCGACCUCAUGAAGUCGGAGUCGCUAGUAAUCGCAGAUCAGCAACGCUGCGGUGAAUACGUUCCCGGG
rnacentral:rRNA from 1 species